rnacentral:rRNA from 1 species
UACGGGGGGUGCGAGCGUUGUCCGGAAUCACUGGGCGUAAAGGGCGCGUAGGUGGCUUGGUAAGCGUGUGGUGAAAGCCCGGGGCUCAACCCCGGGUCUGCCAUGCGAACUGCUAUGGCUUGAGCACUGUAGAGGCAGGUAGAAGUUCCGGGUGUAGCGGUGGAAUGCGUAGAGAGUCCGGAAGAAUACCGGUGGCGAAGGCGGCCGCUGG